rnacentral:rRNA from 1 species
UACGGGGGGAGCAAGCGUUGUUCGGAUUUACUGGGCGUAAAGGGCGCGUAGGCGGUCGUGACAAGUCACUUGUGAAAUCUCCGGGCUUAACUCGGAACGGUCAAGUGAUACUGUCGGACUAGAGUACAGAAGGGGCAACUGGAAUUCUCGGUGUAGCGGUGAAAUGCGUAGAUAUCGAGAGGAACACCUGCGGCGAAGGCGGGUUGCUGGGCUGAUACUGACGCUGAGGCGCGAUAGCGUGGGGAGCAAACGGG